rfam:Cicer arietinum chromosome Ca3, whole genome shotgun sequence.
GUGUGCCUGGCUCCCUGUAUGCCAUUUGUAGAGCCUAUCAAGAUAGUGAUGACUUUAGUGAAUGGCGUACAAGGAGCCAUGCAUGC